rnacentral:tRNA from 1 species
CUACCGUUAGCUCAGUUGGUAUAGGGCAAAGGACUGUAGUUAUUACCAAAUCAGUAUUCCUUAGGUCACCGGUUCGAACCCGGUACGGUAGA